rnacentral:lncRNA from 1 species
GGACCAAAUCAUCUCAGAUAGUACUAGAACUAUGAUUCCUUUGCGAUUCUUCUUGCAUAAGCAUCGAAUGCGCAGAUCUUCCCCAUCAAACGGCGCCGUUUCAUGCUUUAAAUAAAUAGAGAAAAAAAAGAAAAAAAACAUUUCAGUUUCAGUUUUAAAAAAAAAACAGAGAGUCCCUCUAAUCUCUCUCUCUCAGCCUUUCCAAAUCCGGCCAACAAGGCCAAUGCCAUGCACCGCCGUGACCGCCUUGGACGGUGGCCGUCGCUGUGCAUAGGGGCUACUUUAAGCCUCGUUUCAGAUCCUGUACGAAGGUCACGUUUUUGGUUCGAUGGCUGCGAAGAAAAAGCUUCCACCCCACCCUUAUGAGUCGACUUCAGUGACGGAGAGGCCUCCGACGACAUGACCGACGGGCGUUCCAAGUAUUUCCUUUUGCUCCUCUUAUUAAUAUGUUUUUUAAAAAAAAAUAGAUUUGUAAAAGAUAAAUAAAAUGAAUAAAUGAAUCGAAAGAAAAAGAUGAAAAACAACAACCUUUUGGUUCUCUUUCAAUUUUUAUUUCUUUGAUGUGCCUUUUUUACAUAGAAAAUCGAAGAAGCCCCAAAAUAUAAGCAGUGCUUGGGGCUUUUAUAACCCGAUUACAAACGCUUUAAUCUCUUUUUUGUUUUUUUUUUUACAUUGUUUUUUCUCUCUGCUGCGUGUUUAUUGCUCUUUGCAGGUGGUGUCAGAGCAUGCGGAUGAGGCGAUAGGCGAGCCGCGGCAGUGGCCAGGGGGCGUGCGGGGAGGCUGAGCGGCGCACAAGAGCAGAGGCUUGAAGACCUAGGUGCGGCGCACCUAGGUUUUUUCUUAGCUGAAAUGCGUUUAGUUUUUUUGUGGGCUAGGGUUUGUUUUUGUUUUGGGCCAUGGGCUAGAUUUGGGCUUGGGUUGUAAGCCCGGUCAAAUUUGGACAUUUACAAUAAGUUUGUUCAUUGUCGAAUACGCAUGAUUAACGCUUGGUAACGGACUCAUCAACAAAAUUUGGCUACGCACGCACUAUACGAGUCAUUCAAACCCAUAAGAAAUUGAAACAAAUGCUGUUGUUCAACAUGCUUAACAUUCUGCUUAGAUUGAGGACACCCACAAGCAAACGGAGGUACGAGGACAUCAUACUCAUCCCAGAGUAAUCUUAACUUGGUAAAGUAGGCAGAGAUAGAAAUAGUACCUUGAGAAGACGAGGUAAUUUCACGAUGCAAGAAAUAAAUUCUUGAACCAUCGAUUUUGUGAAACCUCUCACUAAGAUCACUCCACACUGCUGCUGCACUGGACGCAAAUACAAUCCUUGCGGAGAGUUCUUUGCUGACCGUAUUCAGAAUCCAAGAUAGCACAAUCGCAUUGCACCGCUCCCAUUGAUAACCCAUUUCUUCCGGCCACAUAUCUUUGGAACAAGUUCCGUCCACAAAUCCCAAUUUGUUUUUUGCUAGUAAUGCGAUUUUCAUCGUUCUACUCCAGACGUUGUAGUUCUCAACACCAAGCAACUGAUGUGCUACCAACAAAGUGCCCGGAGAAUCAGAAGGAUGCAAGUAAAGCGGAUGAUUGAAAUCGGUGAUUGAAUCGGAGAUACUCAUUGUCUUUGUUACCACGAACCAAAAAACAAGGAAAUACAGACUGAAAAUGCCCUAGAUUAACAGCCCAAUUUUGUUGAAUCAAGCAGACUUGGGCAACAAAUGCAGAGAAAUCAAAGCAACAAGAAUCGAACGCAGCAACCAAAAAAAAUAAUCACAGCC